ACUUUCACUAGGAAAGGUUGCCCCGGCCAGUUAGGUACACAUUAUUAAUCAAUAGAUUAAUAAAUGAGUAUCGGUUCCUUUAAUCAAACUUCUGGGUGUCCAGACUCACUUUAUGAAGUGCACCACUUCAAGAGCUUCCUUUUCAAAGCAAAAAAAAAUGAUGCAAAAGCAACUAGAAAAAUUGAGAACAAGAACCAAGAAGCCACAGUCAGCAUCACAUAGGAUUAUGAAGCAAGUGUGAGAAAGGAAAACUUGGGAUACAAAACACCAAAAGAUAACAACACAAAGACUUAUAACGACAAAUAACUGAUUCUGUAAACCUGAACAGAAUUCUACAAGAGGUGUUGAUUAAUUCAGAUCAAGUGUAUUCCAUAAGAGUUUCUAAUUUUGAUUAUGAUAUAUCCAACUGCUACAGGGGCAAGAAGCAUAAACAAAAACCAUUGCUUAUCACAAAUAUUUUUAAAGAAGAGAAAGAACACAAAAAACACCGCACAACUAAUCAACACGUCAAAACAAUUCAACAUUAUAUGCAAUCUUGUACCCACAAGAACCUGUCCAUUUCAAUAAAGAAGAAAAUGUUUCUCCCAUCUCAUCA
rnacentral:lncRNA from 1 species